GGCAAGACAGUGGCGCUAUCUAUGGUGCUUAGCCAUCGAUCCAUCUUCGCAAAGCACUACUCACAUAAAUAUGUCGCUAGGAAAUGGAAGGUAUACAGAAGAUGUGAUCACGAAUGUUCACAAACGAUUAAGACACUUUUCCUGUUGAAGUGGGGGACGGAACAAGAGAUAAAGAGUCUGGAUGGGAGGAUCUAUAUGCCAGUUUGCUUCCUUCCAAACUGCAGUGGGGCGUGAAUAGUUGGCAGCAUUGCUAAAAAUUCCCAUAAGAAUGGAAAUACUAGGCAUUGAACCCCGGACCACAAACAUGCAAAGGUUGCUUGCUACCGCUUCACGUUACCGCCUUAAAAUUCCCAGUAAAAUACCCAGCACUGUGAAUGGUUGGUGUCUUGAAGUAUAAUGGACACAGUCCAGGAAAGAAGCCGACGCAGCAAAAACAGCCGAGCGAAGAGAGGAACACACAUGAACGCACACAAGGCUGCUGAUAUGGGGGCUAGUUUCAGGUGUGAUUCCAGCCUCUCAGAAGCUCCCAGUGAGUCAAACAGGGAUCCCCAGGUGGGCCUCCCUGAUGAGAGGCACCACUCAAAUAGAGGAACAUCUGACUCAGUGCAGUUGCUGGUGGAAACAUGAAUGGCCUGACUUACAGUAAAAACCCCCCCUCGGUUUAAGGUCUCUCUGUUUGUCUCUGUUUCUGGACACCCACCUCUUCUCAUAAAAAACAGAAUCCCCUUGCUAAACAGAAUUAAUUACGCAGAAGACGACAGGACAGCACCCUACACUGUGAUUAAAGUAUUUUGGCGAUUUUCAUACCGGAACUUCCGCUAUAAUUCUAGAAUUAUGGUUCUCAAACGUUUCGAUCAAAGGUUUUUGUUCUAAGUCAGAGGUCCAGAUCAAUUUUCAUGAACUUGAAUGAAUUAACAGUAACUUUCAAUAUAAAUAUCAAUAUAUGACAAUAAUAGGACUGCAGGGCAAAGGCUGGUUUAACUCUCGCUGAUCAUUUCGACUCACGGGGGGCGGAGAAUCAUGACAAGUUAUGUGUGUGCGAGGUUUGGUGGUUCUGCAUUGUAUUUUUGUACUUCAAACCACGUCAAGCCUUUUUACGUUAACCAUAUUGAUUCAUAAGGUGUUUUAUCAGGAUUAUCCGGAUUAACUUGCAGUUCGGUCUGCAUCCGGACCCCUUGCUCCAGAACAUAAUCUAAAACCCAACUGGAAAGGACUCAUUACUUCACAUCAUUUAAUAAAUACUGUGAAAACUUGACAUUCAUAUUAUGUAUU